rnacentral:rRNA from 1 species
UACGGAGGAUGCAAGCGUUAUCCGGAAUGAUUGGGCGUAAAGCGUCCGCAGGUGGUUGUGUGUGUCUAUUGUCAAAGCAUCAUACUUAACAUGAUAAAGGCAGUAGAAACUACACGACUAGAGUGCGUUCGGGGCAGAGGGAAUUCCUGGUGUAGCGGUGAAAUGCGUAGAGAUCAGGAAGAACACCGGUGGCGAAAGCGCUCUGCUAGGCCGCAACUGACACUGAGCGUCGAAAGCUAGGGGAGCGAAUGGA